rnacentral:rRNA from 1 species
CUCAGGAUAGCUGGAACUUUUUAUAAAUAGUUUUAUCAGGUAAAGCGAAUGAUUAGAAGCUCUGGGGAUGAAACAUCCUCGACUUAUUCUCAAACUUUAAAUAGGUAAGAUGAUUGCAGUACUUAAUUGACUGUCAGUCUCUUGAAUAGUAAGUUCUUAGUGGGCCAUUUUUGGUAAGCAGAACUGGCGAUGUGGGAUGAACCAAACGUAAAGUUAAAGUGCCUAAAAAAUACGUUCAUCAGAUACCACAAAAGGUGUUGAUUCAUCUUGACAGUUGGACAGUGGCCAUGGAAGUCGGAAUCUGCUAAGGAGUGUGUAACAACUCACCAACCGAAUGAAUUAGCCCUGAAAAUGGAUGGCGCUUAAACGUAUUACUUAUACUUUACCAUUAAGAUAAAUGCUAAAUCUUAAUGAGUAGGAGGG